AUGUCAGAGUGUUUGUUAGUUUGGAAUGUUAGGGGGCUCAAUAACCCAGCUAGGCGCAGUUCCAUCCGUUUGUUCCUACAAUCCUAUAACAUUUCACUUGCUUGUGUUCUAGAAUCUAAGUUGGCUGUGGUGGAUGCGGUGCUUGUGGGGCAAACUUUUGGCCCGGCUUUCGAUUGCUUUGACUUUCUACCAGCAACGGGUACCAGAGGGGGCAUUCUGAUCGCUUGGAGGUCGGAUAGAUUGAGUGUGUCUACGGUGUGUAAGAAGGAAUUCUCUAUCACCAUCAAAGUCACUUCUUUGGUGGAUGGAAGGGAGUGGAUGGCUACUUCUGUUUAUGGGCCACAGGAAAAUGAGGACAAAGUCAGAUUCCUGGUGGAGAUUGUGGAAAUUGGGGGGCAUGUUCAACUGCCAUGGAUCCUGAAUGGUGACUUCAAUCUGGUGUGUAAUGAAGAUGAGCGAAGUACGAGAAGAAUCAACAGAAGACAUACGAUCAACACCUUGGGCCUGCAUGACAUGCCGCUGGUGGGGAGGAAAUUCACCUGGUGUAAUGAUCAGGAGCACUCAGUAAUGGCAAGAUUGGAUAGGGUGUUGUUCAAUAGUGACCGGGAAGACACUUACCCCAUCAGUGACUUGAUACCGCUCAGUUCCAACAUAUCGGAUCAUUGCCCCCUUCUCCUGACCUGCUCUGGGGAUAUGCCAAGAUAG
rnacentral:rRNA from 1 species